rnacentral:rRNA from 1 species
GACGAACGCUGGCGGCGUGCUUAACACAUGCAAGUCGAGCGGUAAGGCCCUUUCGGGGUACGACGAGCGGCGAACGGGUGAGUAACACGUGGGUGACCUGCCCUCAGCUCUGGGAUAAGCCUGGGAAACCGGGUACUAAUACCGGAUAUGACUCCAUGACGCAUGUUGUGGGGUGGAAAGCCUUGUGCGGCUGAGGAUGGGCCCGCGGCCUAUCAGCUUGUUGGUGGGGUGAUGGCCUACCAAGGCGACGACGGGUAGCCGGCCUGAGAGGGCGACCGGCCACACUGGGACUGAGACACGGCCCAGACUCCUACGGGAGGCAGCAGUGGGGAAUCUUGCGCAA